CCCCCAUACCCCCCUCUCCUGAGAAUUUGAGGCCCCUUGGGCAGAACCUUGGAAGCACAGGCUGACCCAUCCAGGUCCAGCAGGCCUCACUGUGGUCUCCCAGGCCCCUGGUGUGUGGCCGGAUUAUCAUUUAUAAAACCUGCAGUGGGGCCACAGGUGACCGUGGGGAUGAAGGGGGUGGGCACCCUGCCCUGAAGCUGACUCACAGGAGGCAGUGGGCGUGGCCGUCUCACCAGGGUUUCUGGGCUCCUCCAGGCAGAUUGCAGACUGCCCGACUGUUUGUUGGAAACAGAGCCGACAUUUGCAUUGCCAGGCCUGCAGCCCUGGAAACCAAACACUGUGUUCUGAGCUCCCGGCUGUGCCAGGCCAAGCAACGCCUCUGCCUGUCUAAGGGGGGAGCAGGAGACCUGCUAGCAUUUACCCCCAUCCUGGGCUGAGUUAUCAGUAUUUCUCGGGGAACUGCAGUUUAAGGAGACCUGACCUCUCUAUCUCAGGGGUGGGAACUAGGGGUUGGGGAACCUAGGACAAAUCGGAAUUUUUGCCCCGCUCCUGUGCCCCAGACAUCCUGGGUCCUAUGGGGAUGAAGACUCAGUGGCCAGUGUACAAAUGAUUACCCAGCUAGUCCUGGGGAUUUGGAAAUUGUGUCUCGGAGAAGCCUCUCAGCCCCUGAGUCCCAGGGGCCCAGAUGGGACCAGUUGGUUCAUGUCACACACACGCACCCUGCCCCCAGCAGCCAGCAUAGCCCUUGGCACACAGGGGUGCAGGCCACAUGUUUAUGAAAUGAAUGGAAGGUUCCAGAAGCUGUGCUCCAGGGCACCGCUCUCAAGAACCUUCUCAGCUGGGAUGCAUGAGCGUCAGAGCACAGGCUGACAUGGGGACACUCGUCUGCCUGGCAAGACCUCUGACCCUGCAGCCAAAGGCUGCAUGUGGAAGGAGUCUCCUUGCCGCCUCUAGCCUCCCUUGUCUAAACCGAUACCCAGCCUCCCGGCAGCAGGUCCUGGUAGCCUUGCUCUAGCCAGCCUACUGCCUCUGGAUAGUGUCAGAAGGCCCUUGGCUUAGCUGCCCACAAGCUGGUCACCAUGGCUGUUUCUGUGGAGACCUUCCCUGCCAGGCCACUCAGGCUCCACAUGUCUACAGAGAGCUAGGAUGAGCCUGUGAGGGGCGAGGUUAUGAUGCAGGCAGGAUGCAUUCUGGGAGAGAGGAAGAGACACAGUCACCUAGGCAGGGCCUCCCCAGUUCCUUGGACAUACAGUCACAGGUCUCUCUUUAUUCGGGGCAGUGGGGUUGGCCAUCCUAAGUUUCCACCCAGCCCGGGACCUCUCUGAGCAACAGAGGGAACAAUGAAGGAGAACCCUGCCUUGGCCUGACCACUGCAACCACAUCAGCAAAUCAAAUCAACCCGUGUUACCUCACAAGCCCCUCCCUGUUAGCCCACAGUGUCCACCCCCACUCAGCCUCCACCCAGGAUCAGGGGCUACUUUCUGCCUGAUCUAUUUUCUGGUGUCUUCAAAGAGUCACUAUAUGCAGCAAAAAGCCAGCUUUUAAGCGUACAGCCCCCAUGGGAGUUUGUAGGAAUGUGUUUGGUCAGAAAACACCACUAGCCGAGAGGUCGUACAAGUAUAGUUCUCCUGUGGUCACCGAUUCGUGGUUUGGGGGGUCUUGAAAGCAGGAGUACCUCAAGGGUUAAAUGUGUGAUUUUUUUAGAAACAGUCAGUUCAUGCCUGAAUAGAAACCGAAAGACCUCCAGUUUCCCAGAAUCUACUUAAAUGACUGACCCUGUUCUGCCCUUGCCAGAAACCCAAGAAAGUCUGAACAGCUCUGUGUGUAUCUGUCUGUCUAUCAACCUUCAUCCUUCAUCCAGAUGGGAGGAGAGAGCCUCAGCCCUCAGGACCAUGCAUUCCAGCUGACAGGCAACCAUUCGUCCCCAUGUUCCCAGCACAGAGGCUUGCUGGCUAGCCUCGGUUCUGUAAAUGUAACCGACAUCUGGGUACUCCCUGGGUUAGCCGAGAGUGGAGACCCUAUGAAGCUGACCCAGGCACCAGGCAUGGAGAUCCCAGCUGAGCACUUGGCCUUCCCCUACACAGAGCUGAUUAUCAAACCCACUUACAGUGGAAGAAAAUCGAGGCUGGGUGUGAAAGUCACCUGCUGAGGUCACACAGCCAGGAGGUCCAUGUGACCUGUUACCUAGGUCUGCAUCCCAGGGACCUGAUACCCACGGGGCUCUCCCAGCUUCUUUCUCCCCUCCCUUAUUCUUCUUCAGCCCCGGUCACGCUCUGGGAUCCAACGCAGUACCCUCAAGCCCAGGUGGCCAGGCCUAGUAUACAGGCUCUGUCUUCCUAAGACAUCAAAAUGGGCAACCACCCGCUCACUCUUUCCUCACAGAGUUGACAGUUCAUAUGAGGUGUGAGGUGCAGAAGCAGCUGCCAAUAGUCAGGAUAGGGCUCCACAGUCAAUACCCCGCUGCUAGGCAAGCAAGGGGAAGUGUUCAGGGGCGGGCACUUCAGGAACCAUAGUGGCUUUCUAACUCAAAGGGAGUUGAUCUAGCAGAGGUGAUGAGGCCCAGAGGAGUCCUGGACACCUGAUGGACAGCUUCCCCCACAGAGCAGGGACUGGACCUUGCAGAGUGGGGACAUGAGGCCAGGAUGGUGUAGGGUCCUGCCCAGUUAUGUAAUCUCUUAGGGACACACCUUUGGGGUCAGACUGUCCUUCCAAAAGACAAAGCAUUUCUUAGUCUGCAGAAAGAA
rnacentral:sRNA from 1 species